ACGCCACACACACACACAUCCACACAUGUAGACGCAGUCCCCCCCUCCUGGCCCAGCCACAUCCUUUGCUCCGGCUCAGGAGACUGAGAGAAGGACAAGCCAUCUGUAGACACAGUGCUCACAACUAGGAAGACCUUCCUGCCCCAGAGCUGCCUCUGUCUUUCCAGAAAAACAGGAGAUCUUUUCCUAUUAAGGCAAAGAGACAGCGUCUUGCUAUCUUGUCCAGGCUGGUCUCAAAAUCCUGGGCUCAAGCAAUGCUCCUCCUUUGACCUCUCAAAAUGCUGGGAUUACAGGUGUGUGCAUUGUGCUGGCCAACAGAGUUUAAUUGAACAAGAAAAAAAAAAGAUUCAUGAAUUGGGCAGCCCCCGGAAUCACAGCAGAUUCAGAGAGGCUCCAGGGAUGCCUGGUGGUCAGAGCAAGUUUAUGGACCGAAAAAGGAAAGUGAUUUACAGAAAACGGAAGUGAGAGACUACAUUGAGGAGUAUGACAAGUUUUCAGCUUGAGAAGGGCUUGCAUUCUGUAGGAGAAAUGAACAAACAGCAUAUUAGGUGAUGAUGCAACAUGGAACAAGUGCUAUGACAGAGAUUAAAAAACAAGUGCUUGUUCAUUUACUGGAAAGACAAAAGGCUGAUUCAGCCGGAAAGAAAAAUCCCUGAGAAGAUGGUAUGGACUAAACAAAUAAAUGGGAUUUUAACAAAUAAAGAAUAAAAAUUAUUUUAUUUUAUAAAGGGAGGCAGAAUAUGAUCUGGAUGUGAGUAAGGGUUGCAGGAGGUGAGGGAGGGAGUGUAUAGAUAUCUGGGGUAAAAGCAUUUCUGGCUGAGAAGACAGCAAGUGCAAAUGCCCUGAGACAGGAUCAGGGCUUUUGAGGAAUCACAAAAAAACCCAAUGAUCUUGGAGUAGAAUGUGCAAGCCAAAGUGGGUCCAAGACGAGAUCAGAGUGAUAGGAAGGGGAGGGGCCAGAAUAUGUAGAGCCUGGGAUGUCAUUGAAAGAACCUGGGUUUUUACUCUGAGCAAAAUAUGAAGUCAUUAGAACUUUUGGAACUAAAAAGGAGCAGAGCUGUCUCUCUCACUGCUGUGUUGAGAAUAGAAUGAAAGGAUCAAGGACAUAAGUCAAAAGACCGGUCGGGAGACUAUGGCAGUAUUCCAGGUAAAACAUGAUGUGUCUCAGACGAGGGUGGUGGCAAAACUAGUGGGAUUCUUAAAUUUUGGAGGUGGGAUCAAUAAAAAUGUGUGAUGGAUUGGAAGCAUAAGAGAAAGGGCACCCAGGAAUGACCUCAAGUUCUUGGCCUUAGCAACUGGAGAAAGGAGGUUGCCAAUAGUAACUGAGAACCUGAAGCUUGGAGGAGGAGUGAUAUAGGGGAUGAGCAGGAGCUCAGCUACAGACAUGCUAAAUUUGAGAUAUGUUUCAGUCAUUGUUUGGUGAUAUCAGGUUGGCAAUUGGAUGUACUGGUCUAGAGUCCAGGGUGGGGUCUGGGCUGCAAAUGUGUACUUGGACAUCAUCACUUUUUGGCAAGAUGGCUUUAGAGCAUAAUAAUAUACAUUUAGUUGAUUGUAGAAGGAAGAUAGAAUUGUGAUGCCAAAGUUUGUGGCUUGCUCCACCAUGGUGAAUUGCUUUCUAAAUGAUUUUAAUGUUCUCUGUGUUGUAAUGAUGUGUAAUGUUUAUUGGAAUUUCACAUUUGACUGUUAACUUACUGAAAGUGGUAAAACAUUUUUACUCUAAAAAUAAAAAAUUAAAACAAUCACA